GUUUAGGAAAACAUGUACUUUUAAUUCACCCUUGGGUGAAAUCGAAGCGUAGUGUGUACUGAAUGCGUGUUGAUGAUGAUGCAUAUGAAUUGCAACUUACACGUCUUCCAAACCUUUUCAGUACCCUGGCACAUGCUUUGUCCAAUGGACAAUGGAAGGGACUUUACUUGGUUGACGAGGACACACCUCACCAGUAUCAGAGCAACAGCUGUGGGGUGUUUAUGCUGAUGGGGGACAUGCUCUCUAUCAGGAGGUGGUGGUUGGACAGCUGUUGGAGACCAUUUAUGCUUGAAAGCCCUGCAGGACUAGCUGGCACACCAAGCUCACCCUCUCCAUCUCCCCAUCUCAGCCACACACUCCAAUCUGGCACAACAGAGGACAGGCCAUUCUUACCACCCGAAGUCCUUCAGCAAAUUGUACAAGAGACGCUGAGACUGGACAUGGCGAUGCUUGGCGUGUUCAACAGGGUUUCAAACACAUUCCGAGAACGAAUCAAGCCUCUCCAUCCUUCCAUAUAUAUAAAUGACAGUGUGGCAGGGGAAAUUAAGCUUAAUAAAGACAAUCUCCUAUACAUAACGGUUAGAAAGAUUUACAACAAUGCAGGCUGUGGCAGUGGCCUUGCGCUACGCCUCAAAGGCUUCUCAAAAAAGAAGAAUUGGCCAAGCGCACCCCUGGUACUGAGGCACGUUGCAUAUGGCAGGUUUGUCAUAAAAGAUGUCUGCCUAGCAUAAUGUUCUUUUAUUACUCCUUUUUCGUUUUAUUUGGG
ensembl:lncRNA